AAUCCAUUCAAUUGUUUGAAUAUCUAGUUAGCUGUAUCAGAUUUCUUUUUAUUUCAUGCUCUAAAAAAAAUUGUCUGAAGUCAUUUUUCACAGCUUAAGGUCACUAAGCAUUUUUUCAUAUGGAAUUUAACAACAGCAGCUACGCAAGAAAGAAUUGAUUCAUCUCUCUCCUCUCCCGCCAAAGGAUGUCCAUGAUGACACCAACAAUUAGCAACAGUUUUCCUGAAGAUGGAAAAUACCAAAUUAUUUCACACUUAUUCCAUUUGAGGCCAUCUUUCAUACUGGCAUGGGUGACACACUUCCCAACCCGGGAGGCAUCAUGCACAAAGGCAGCCCUAAUUCAAGCUGGUGGAUGUCAGCAAUGCGUAGAGGUCAAGCGAGAGCCUCACUCCUCCUUUUUAGAGGAAAAGUCUUCUAAAAAUCCUCCUACAUUUGAAACCAUAGCAGGAUUCUCAACGAAAGCACAAGAAGUACAUACCUUAGAGUGUCUGAAAGACUGCAGAGGUAGCCCUAAGGGACCUGGGAGGAGGGAGGCUGACUUGCACGAGAAAUUGAAAAUAACUCUUGGACUAUAACGUCUUCAGAGAAGAGAGGCCUUUACAUAAAAGCUUGGCCCCAUAAUAAAGCUUCAGUGUUAGAAGGGAGGACAGAUUUUUGGUAUAAUACCAGUUAGUCAAAUUUUCCUCUGGCCCGUGGAAUCAUGAUUAUGGCCUCAAGGAGAAAGAGGCUGAAAAUACAAACAAAAAGAAUUAGAGUUCAUAUGAAGACAGAAAAGAGAUUCUUGCCACUUCAGGACGAAAACGAAGCAGUGUAGUUACACCAUGAAAGCAAUUCUGGUAAGGCUGGCCCAGUGAUGGUGCUGGCACUGUGCAGUGUCUAGCCUCCAUGACAGGAGGUAAAAGCUGGCAGCAGUAGAAGGGGAUUUCCCAACAUAUUCCCAAAGUCACCAGAAGGUUCUUGGCACCUUUGCAUUGGCUUUACCGGGAUUGCAGUCCCAGAAGCAAAUGGUCACACACAGCCAAAGCACGGUAGAACACAGCAAAUGAUGCGUGUGAGCUGAGGACACUGUGUGUAUUAGCAUAUGGAGGAUAAUCCUGGACGUGCUACAGAUUUGGGAGGGCUUUUCCUGAAGGGAAAUUGCAAGGCCCCGCCUAAGAUGCUGGGGACAUUUACACUGCUGUUGUGGUCCCUUUUUUACCUUCAGGCUGGUAUGGCCUGGGGCAAAUGUGGUAUUUAACCAUAAAACAAUUCACCAAGGAAAAGAAAUUUAAUGUUUGUUAA